UAAGAACUGGAGGCCACCAGAGUAUCUGGUUUAUUCUUGCAAUGAGGGACCUGGAACUUGGGAUUGUUCUGCCUCGCCCUCCUGAAUUCUGGGUUACAGAAAACUCCUGAACAGCCUUCAAAACCCAACCAAGUUGGGUGUGUUGGCACAGGUCUAUCAUCCCAGCUCCUCCAGAGGCUGAAGCAGGAGGAUCACAAGUUCAAGGUCAGCCUGGGCAACUUAGUAAGAUCCUGUCUCAAACUGAAAAAUAAAAAGAGAGCGAGGCAUGGUA